CGCUGGCGGCGUGCCUAAUACAUGCAAGUCGAACGGUCUUUCUAUGGAAGCUUGCUUCCACUGAGAAGAUAGUGGCGAACGGGUGAGUAACACGUGGGUAACCUGCCCAUAAGAGGGGGAUAACAUCCGGAAACGGGUGCUAAUACCGCAUAGUUUUCUUGAUCGCAUGAUCGGGAAAGGAAAGACGGCCUUUGUGCUGUCGCUUAUGGAUGGACCCGCGGCGUAUUAGUUAGUUGGUGAGGUAACGGCUCAAACCAGACGAUGAUACGUAGCCGACCUGAGAGGGUGAUCGGCCACAUUGGGACUGAGACACGGCCCAAACUCCUACGGGAGGCAGCAGUAGGGAAUCUUCCGCAAUGGACGAAAGUCUGACGGAGCAACGCCGCGUGAGUGAAGAAAAGGUUUUCGGAUCGUAAAACUCUGUUGUCAGAGAAGAACAAGUUGGAGAGUAACUGCUCCAGCCUUGACGGUAUCUGACCAGAAAGCCACGGCUAACUACGUGCCAGCCGCUGC
rnacentral:rRNA from 1 species